rnacentral:lncRNA from 1 species
GUGAACGGCAUUGAUGCAUCGUGCAAAUGGCAACAUUUUUUUAAAUAUAGUGCAAAUGGCAACAAGGUCCCAAAGAUUACAAGGCUUGGAGCUUUUGGAGAAUGGAGUACAAAAUCAAGAACUGAUCCUGAUAGCCGCAUUAAAAGACGUCGAGGACCAACUAAAUUGGCAAAUGUUGAAAAUCUUCCAGAGGGUGUUAAGAUUAUUGACAAACUGGAUCGUUUCAAUGUACCUUGCUCCCAAUCUGCUAUAGUUCUUGGAUCCUAUUUAGGAACACUUGUCAGGAAGCCAUAUCUAACUCCACUGAACAUUCUUCAAUGGAAUCAUAAACUUUAUAAGAGAGUAUAUUAUUCAAAAAUGAUUUCUGAAGUAGAGAGAAAGUUUGCAAUUGAUGGAAGAGCUAAUAAUUGGAUUCUCCACCAGUUAGAUGGCAAAUUGAGACAGUACAAGUCAAAACUGAAAAAGGGCUAUUACAAGCCUAACUUACCUAUGGAACGAGCAUUGCAAACUGUGCCCAAAACUGUUGCUGAAUCUCAAUGGGCCACCCUAGUUUCUUACUGGUACUCAGAGGAUUCUAAGAAUGAAGUAUAUAUGAAAUUGGCUGAGAAAAGAGUGGAUGGCCAAGAAGUCAGUGUAGCUGAUUUUGAACAAACUAUGUUAGAAGUGUUUGGACAGGAUCGUAGUGGUAGAGUUAGAGGCAUGGGUCCAACCAUUAUUCCAACAAACUAUUAUGGUGGAAGAUUUUCGAAUAUAUUAGGAAGCAGUGAAGGGAGUAGCUCCAGUAAUGUAAAUGGUUUCAUUAGUUUUAUAGUAUCAUAUUUGACUGAGAAAUAUCCAGAGGAUAAUUUGAUUUCUAGGUUACCACCAUCGGUUGCUAGGGUCAUUCCAAGACAAGAGAAUCAUGGAAAUCAGCUACCAAAUACUACUCCACCCUCUAGUGCUAGAGCAUCAUCUCAGUCUUGCAGUGAAGAAGAGUGA